rnacentral:lncRNA from 13 species
CUCUUCGCAGCCCCGGAUGUAAAAGGAAACGGAGGUCCAGGAAAGGGACGUGAUUUUCCAAAGACACACUUGUGAAAGGUCAUGAUUUCAUUGAACUGGUCCUAAGUGCCAGGUGCACUAAGAUUGUCUGCUAUCUUCACAAUAACCCCCAAACAGCCAUGUUGAACCAUGAAAGGACCUCAGGAAUGAAAGCCACACACAGCAAAGCAACAAGAUAAAAGAGGCAUGGGUUCCUAAUGCAAGAGGCACUGAACCAAUCAAUACCCACUGCCCUCCAGACCUCUACAUGAAAGAAAAAAAACUGCUGUCCUGUACACUCUCCAGAUGCCAGCAACUUGAUAUUGGACUUCCCAGCCUUCAGAACUGUGAGAAAUAAAUUUAUUUAUUUUCUUUAUAAGUUACCCAGCCUAUGGCAUUCUGUUAUAGAAGCACAAAACAGACUAAGGCAGCCACUGAAACCAGUUCUAUGUCCGGAACCACCCCCAUUUGCCUCAGUUUCUCUCUAUAAUAGGAGCAAAUACUCUGAAUGUUAUCUAUACUUCUCCAUGACAACAGGGAGACUAAGAAAAGAAGAUAUAUAUAAUCACACUUUGAAAAGAUAUAAAUGUUAUCCAACCAUUGUUUCACAUCAGGCUGGGCCAUGUAGCUUCCUCUGUACCCUUUGGUUUCCAGUCUUAUCUCAAUCACAGACCAUAUAUCAAAUGCCUGGUAAUUAUUAGUGCAUCUGUGUAUCCCCUAUUCUUCUCCCCAACAAUACAUAAAAGGUUAUUGCAUUGCAUUGAAUUAUAAGACUUGAUUACUGGAAAGUCUAGACAUCCACUCAGGGUCAUUGUGGGGCAGCACAGUGAUUAUGCAGUGUCAUUAUCCACUAAGCACACUGGAGGUCACACCAAUGAAGUAGCAUGUCAGAUGUAAGCAAGACAGAGCUGGGUUGUGAAACUCUGGAACCAGCUGAACUGAAAGUUUGUGUAAUUUCCUUCCUGCUCAGACAUUGUUCCAUGUAGUAGAUGGAGAGGAGACCUGGUGCUUCUCUAGUAACCUGUUGAGGCCCGGUAAUGCUCUAACUGCAUUCUAUGAAAACUUUUCCUGUAUUUGCAACCUGCCCAUUGCCAGAGAGAAGAGAUAUUUUCACUGAGAUUCUUAGAAUCCUAGCACAGAAAUAGAUCUUGUUAUUCAUUAAUUUAUUCCUAUAUCUAUGUAUUCAUCUAACAAAGAUUUAUGGAGUACUGUUCUAGGCAUUAAAGAGAUAGUGUUGAGAUGAACAGAUAUUUUUCUUGUCCUCAUGGAACUUACAGUCAAGAAAAGACAUUAAAGAAAUAAGCAUACAAAUAUAUAGUUGAUUCAAGUACAAGUAGAAAGGAAAAUAGAAAACUGUAAGAGAGGAAACCUGGCUUUGAUUGAGUUUUAAUUUAGAGUGGUGAUUUUGAGGAGGCAGAUAGCAUUAAACACAUUGUCUCUGGUCUCAACAACUCUUUGAAGUGUCUAUUACCACAACCAUUGUACAAAUAGGGACACUAGGGCUUAUGGAAAUUGGGUGACUGGACUAGGGAAGCACUGCUAGUGAGUUUGGAGUAGGCUUUGCUCUCUCUGAUAUUCCAUGCUGCGUAACACAAACCCAGAAGGUGAGAAUUUUCCCACUUCCAAGCUUUGCACAUCCCAUGUCUACUUCCACCUAAAACACCUCUGCCAUCAUUCUUACUGGAUUCAUAUUCUGCCCUCAGUAUCUAGUUGAGGAUCUGCUUCCUCUGUAAAGUUUCCCUUUCAAACUUAAUAAAUCUGUUUUCUUGUUGGAUUCCUGCA